CCUACGGGGUGGCUGCAGUGGGGAAUAUUGGACAAUGGGGGGAACCCUGAUCCAGCCAUGCCGCGUGUGUGAAGAAGGCCCUCGGGUUGUAAAGCACUUUCAGUGAGGAAGAACGCCUGGUGGUUAAUACCCAUCAGGAAAGACAUCACUCACAGAAGAAGCACCGGCUAACUCCGUGCCAGCAGCCGCGGUAAUACGGAGGGUGCGAGCGUUAAUCGGAAUUACUGGGCGUAAAGCGCGCGUAGGUGGCUUGAUAAGCCGGUUGUGAAAGCCCCGGGCUCAACCUGGGAACGGCAUCCGGAACUGUCAAGCUAGAGUGCAGGAGAGGAAGGUAGAAUUCCCGGUGUAGCGGUGAAAUGCGUAGAGAUCGGGAGGAAUACCAGUGGCGAAGGCGGCCUUCUGGACUGACACUGACACUGAGGUGCGAAAGCGUGGGUAGCAAACAGGAUUAGAUACCCGAGUAGUC
rnacentral:rRNA from 1 species